rnacentral:lncRNA from 1 species
UAUUUUCUUGUUUAGUUGUUCUAACAUGUAUAUUAAAAAAAUAAAAAUCAUACACAAAACAAAAAUUAGAACUCAUAAUCCCCAAAUUUAAUCUCCUUUGCGCGAAGAGAACUCGAUUUCACACCACAAAUAUGCCAAUGGAUUAAGAUGUGGCGGUUCUCCCUUUAGCGAAGAGAAUAACUCGAUUUCAUAUUUCAGCAGGUUUUCUGCACCGUGGAGAAGCAUUAUCGUCAAGCAAACGUCGUUGUCAUUUCUAUCUCUUCCCUUUCCGUCGAGAACUAUGACAAUCGUUUCUUUUUCUUUUUCUCUCUCCGUGAAGAAGUGUUGCAUAUUUCGUUUUUUUCUCUUUUCCUUCGUCUUCUUCCCUUUGCUUUUGUUUUAACCUAAACCCUAAGUCGAUGUUCUCUUUUCCUUCUCUUUGCUGAACACAAGAAGCCAACAAUUUUGAAUCAAACUUGGUGUUUCUCCCAAAGUAGUUUGUUCCUUUCUCAACUCUUUCAAUUUUAAAUUUAUAUAUUUUUCCUUGUUAUUCUAGUUUAUUUCUUAUUGAUUUUCAUUUUAGAUCAUUUACCUAGAUAUUUAUUUUUUCCUAUUUGGUUAGUUGUGGUUGAAAAACCGUGAGAAUAUUAUCCACUUAUUAUAAUUUUAUUUAUUAAUUUUAGAUUGUUGUUAGGAUUUGGUGCUCUUUUAAGUUUUUAUUAUUCAUUGAGAAUGUGUUAGACAUGAGAUUGCUAUUUCAUUGAGAUUGUUGUCAGAUACUUUAACUUAUGUUGUUAAGUUGACUACAACAACCAUCCGAUUUGUUCAGUUUGAGUAGUAGCUUUUUGGCCGUUUGCUGCUGAGCUACUCCACAAGCAG